rnacentral:lncRNA from 1 species
AAAAAGUGGCAGGGAAGCUGUAGCUACUAAGCUGAAAUACUGAAAAACCGAGAAACAGAUUGGCUCUUCAUGCCGGCCUUGCUCCCCUCUCGCCCUUGAGAUUAGCAUCUUUCUUGGAAUGUCGAAAAUACCAUUAGACAGCCCCAGCUUAUGAAUAAAUAGAAUGUGACUUUCUGGGAAGCUCCCUUACACCCCCUGCCGCCCUCACUCUGCUUUAAUAUCUCUCCGUUUCUUGCUUUCUUAAAGAAGUUCUCAUCUUGAGUCUAGUAUGUACGUGUGCAUGUGGAAAUGUAUGUAUGCAGGUGGAGGUGUGUGUGUGGAGAUGGAAGUGUGUAUGUCCAGAUGGAAUUGUGCGUGUGCAUGUGGAGGUGUGUGUGUGCAGGUGGAGGUGUGUGUGUGCAUGUGGAGGUGUGUGUGUGCAGGUGGAGGUAUGUGUGUGCAUGUGGAGGUGUGUGUGUGCAUGUGGAAGUGUGCGUGUGCAUGUGAAAGUAUGUGUGUGCAGGUGGAAGUGUGCGUGUGCAGGUGGAGGUGUGUGUGUCCAGGUAGAAUGUGUGUGCAUGUGGAGGUGUAUCUGUGCAUGUGGAGGUGUGUGUGCAGCUGGAAGUUGUGUGCAGGUGGAGGUGCACAUGUGCAUGUGAAGGUGUGUGUGUGCAUAUGGAGGUGUGUGUGUGCAUGUGGAGGUGUGUGUGUGCAGGUGGAGGUGUGUGUGUGCAGGUGGAAGUGUGCAUGCAUGUGGAAGUGUG